AGUGUUGAAAUUUAACUGAAUUGUGAUCCCUUUCCAAAGACUUUGUAUGGAAGGAACUGGGUCUACGGUGGAGAAACCUAACACCGUCUCAGCGGGGAUCAGGCGGAAAAAAGCUAUCAGAGGCUGGUGGUGUGGCGCCCUGGGCUAAGCCAUCUGUGACACCAGCAUCCCAAGUUGGAGCACCGUUUGAG
rnacentral:lncRNA from 1 species